rnacentral:rRNA from 1 species
UGGGGAAUAUUGCACAAUGGGCGCAAGCCUGAUGCAGCCAUGCCGCGUGUAUGAAGAAGGCCUUCGGGUUGUAAAGUACUUUCAGCGGGGAGGAAGGGAGUAAAGUUAAUACCUUUGCUCAUUGACGUUACCCGCAGAAGAAGCACCGGCUAACUCCGUGCCAGCAGCCGCGGUAAUACGGAGGGUGCAAGCGUUAAUCGGAAUUACUGGGCGUAAAGCGCACGCAGGCGGUUUGUUAAGUCAGAUGUGAAAUCCCCGGGCUCAACCUGGGAACUGCAUCUGAUACUGGCAAGCUUGAGUCUCGUAGAGAGGGGUAGAAUUCCAGGUGUAGCGGUGAAAUGCGUAGAGAUCUGGAGGAAUACCGGUGGCGAAGGCGGCCCCCUGGACGAAGACUGACGCUCAGGUGCGAAAGCGUGGGGAGCAAACAGG